GUCUGGUUGGCUCAGUUGGUAGAGCGUCGGUCUCAUAUGAAAUGAUUCUCACCUAGUGAGGGAAAUCCGAAGAUCGCGAGUUCGAUCCUCGCACCGGACA